AAGUAACAAAACAUGAAAAAAGUCAAGGGGGGUGAAUACUUUUGCAAGGCACUGUAUGAAGUAUAAAACACUCCUAAAAUCAACAUAGACACAUAACCCCCAUUAAUACUUCAUAGUCCUAACUUUAAAUGUUGUAACUUAUUUGAUCUCAGUCCCUCCUAGGGUUCCCGUUGCGGAGCUCACACAAUACACCGGAACCUCUAUUUGCAUGCAGCAAUUCUAAUUGCUGGACGCAAUUGCGCUUCUGCCGGCACUCAGAUUUCAGCGGAUGCGAGAAAAAAAGGGAUUUCCGGUACCUCAGAAAGGAUUCAGAAGGUCUACAAAUUUUCAAAGUAAACAGCGGUUCAGACACCCAGAAAAGAAAGAUAGAGGUCCUAGGAAGUCGGGUUUUCUGUUCAGAGCCUCAAAUGAUUCUAAAUCCAAGGAUAAUCAAGAUUGACGCCAGGUGGGGGGGAGACUCUCCAAACUUUACCCGGCCUGGAAAGAGAUUACAAAAAACAAGUGGAUCUUAGACAUCAAUUCAAGAGGGCUUCAAAUAGAAUUUUUAUUCUCCUCAGGAAGAUAUAAUAAUUUUUUUUUAUUAUCAUUAUUUUUUUAAUUAUUAUUAUUAUUUUUUUAACCAAUAAUCCAAAAGAAGAAAAGGCUUUAAUUUUGCAAAGGGAGGUUGUUUCUUUACUUCUGAAAGGAGUUGUAAGUUUAGUUCCCGAGGCAUAAAGAGGAACCGGGUU